rnacentral:rRNA from 1 species
AGCAGUAGCCACGGUAAUACGUAGGGUGCGAACGUUAAUCGGAAUUACUGGGCGUAAAGCGUGCGCAGGCGGUUGUGUAAGACAGGUGUGGAAUCCCCGGGCUUAACCUGGGAACUGCGCUUGUGACUGCACAGCUAGAGUAUGGCAGAGGGGGGUGGAAUUCCACGUGUAGCAGUGAAAUGCGUGGAGAUGUGGAGGACACCGAUGGCGAAGGCGGCCCCCUGGGCCAAUACUGACGCUCAUGCGCGAAAGCGUGGGGAGCAAACAGGAUUAGAUACCCCAGUAGUCCCUGUCUCUUAUACA